AGUGCCAUUUAUUCGAUCUGUCACUCUCGCUUCAAUUCGUUGCUCAAUUUCUCGCGCUCAGCUUCAAUCUAUCACUCUCAGCUUGAAUUUUUCACUGUGAUGAAUCAUCUCUCUUGCUGUAUCUCUCUCUUAUGUCUUCCAAUAAUUUCGGUGAGCUCUCUCUCUCUAAUUUAAUAUAUGAUUAAAAUCUUAUCAUGUCAUUAAAUAUGCUUGAAGUUUCAGAUUAUUUUAUGGAUAUUACUUGAAAUUUCAGUUUCAAUAAUUUGAUUUUACAAUUGAGAAAUUAUUACUUGAAAUAUUGGGAUGAUUUCUAGGGAUUGAUAAUUGAAUGAUAAUUGCUAGGGAUUGUCAUUUUUUUCUUUUGAAUAGAUAGAGUUACAAUUAAGUCAUACUGCAAUAUUUCAUCUUGAGAUUCUGUUGUUCACAAAGAGAAAAAAAAUCAAAAAUUAAAAAAAAAGGUUACAUUAUCGAGCAUCAAGCAAAUGAAAAUAAUGGGGUUUGUUUUGAUGAGCUGUGAAUUGGGGCUUGUCAUUUUAUUGAAUUAUCUUCAAUAUAAGUGGAAAGGGAUUUCUUCUCUCCAGAAAAUUAUUGUAUAUUUCCUUUUAAAUUCUAGAUUCGCAUGGAGCUGAUUUUUUAUAUUUGAAUGAUUUAAUUAAAUAAUGUGCUGCUGCCUGUGGCAUGAAUUAAUGUAGUCUCGCUAGUAUUCGUGAUUUGGGGUAAUGAUCUAAUUGAACAAUUAUAUUUCUAUUAUUCUUGUAUUUGAGUCCAAUGAUAUUAUGGUGGUUUUAUGACAAUAUUCUAUUGUUUUGUGCCGCAAAUUGGCUACUGAGUUGUGUAUGUGCUGGGUAUAUGCUGUAUGUGCUUGUUGUUGAAUUUGCUUGACUUUGGAUGUGAUUCUUGCCAUGUUUAUAAGAAAUAGACGCAGGUCUUUGUGUGGUAAUGGAAUUUUCUAAGUUGCCUUACGAUAAAUCUAGAAUCUUAAGUAACUAUACUUUGUAACCUUAAACCUUUAUGUGUAAGACUUGGUGUACUUGGUUGUGAAAGAAUGUUAAAUGUUGACCUAUCUUCAUUGGUGAAGAUAAAUGAAGUUACGAGAGGUUUCUAAUUGCUAUAAUCCUGACAAUUUCUCUGGUGGACUUGUAAUAAUUUUAUUCAUGGCAUGUAAUUUGUUUUUAUCAGGAGGCCCAGUUUGCUUGUGGUCUCAAAUCUAGGGUAAUAUUUUAAAUAAGUUCUGCAAUAUAUGUGUUGCUAUUUUUUUUUAAUUGGUUUUAGUAUUAUUUGGAGGGAUAUUAUGAUCUGCUGAAGCUUAUCAAGCUGGUGCAGCAAGCAGGCCUUUAUCUUAAUCUUAGGAUUGGUCCUUACGAUUGUGCUAAGUAGAAUUUUGCGUAGGUUACAACGAAUAGUUUUUCUGAAAAAGACCUGAGAAGACGCUCUAUUUUCUUGCAUGUUUUUGAAAUGAGCAAAACUUUUCUUUCUUAUUUUCAGGGUUCCUGGUUUGCUGAAGUACAUGCCAGGUAUCAAUCCCUCUAAUAUACUAACCCUUUAUUAGGUGUAAAACAUGAUUUAAAACAAUUCAUAGCAUGAGUUCUGUCAUUAUUGGUUUCAGUGCAUUGAUUUUGAUCUUGGUUACAACCCCAUCAGCCCCUAGUCCUCAUUCCCAGCAGCCUGUAAUGCCUUUUUUUUUUUUUUAAAGCACUGUACUUUGUUUUAUGAUGAAAUUUGUUUGUAUGACACAAAAUUGAGGACAUGGUAAUAGUCAUGAUUUUAAUGUAUGCAACAAAGGUCAUUAUGUUGAAAUUAGUAUGGGAGUUAGCAUUUAUACUUUGAAUGUAUUAUAUAUUAGAUCCAAUUAUUUGAUUCAACUGAACCUUGUUUAAAAGUGCUUCUAAAUUUUCUCAUUACAAAGACUUAAGAUACUGCGGCUUGCAUGUUAAAAUAGUGAAAGUGUUUCAUGGAUUUGAUUAAUUAUGAUCUUUGUCAGCAUUGGUGAUAUACAUAUAGCAUAUGGAAGGAAAUUAUAAUUUUUUUUUCUUGUUUAUGAAUGCAAAACUUCUUUUUGAAUUUUGUAGAUAAGACACUUUAAGAUUAUCUCUACUUUGUAGGUUAUUAUUCUUGUCAAUUGCUUUGUUUGCCACACUACCAGGCUUUGCAGAGUACUUGUUGGUUUGUAUGGAUUGAGGUCUAGUGAUUUUACGUGAUAUUUCUUAAAUUGUUAAGCAUAAACAUUUUGUUUGCUUCCUCAAACGGUAUGAAUGUUCUGCGUUCAACUUCCUUGUUCGAUCAUUUGUGUUACCUCUCCAGUUUUUCAUUAUUUUUCCUUUUGUUUCUUGAGUUUCCGUAGUCUUUAACUUUUCAUUUGAAAGGAUUUUGACCUGCUUGUUACAGCGUUCUUUAAUCACGGUAGAAAAUAAAAAUACGACUUAAAGCAAUAAUUUAUAGCAGGAAUGGAAAUGGUGGAAAAUUAGAGAUUGAAAUUUUGUUAUUUUAAUUUGUUUAUCUUUGUGGCUUUACUCUAUCUUAGGAAUUGUGAAGUUUUCUACUCUAAUUUUCAUAUUAUUUUUAACCAAUUAUGUUCGUCUAAAGGUUCAAUUAUGUUUAAGUGGUAAUGUUAAUGGAAACUUCUUUUAGAGUUUUGGCUUGUGUAAAGAAGAUUUAGUUUAAUUGAAUAUUUUUUCCCAUGUAAUUGAAUAGCAUUUUUAUUUUUAUUAGGGGGGAUAUUUUAAUGAUCUAAAACUCACAUAAUCUUUAAUAUUUCAGUUGAAUUAUAGUUAUUUGAUUGUUAGAUUUAAUUUUGUUUGUUUUAUUGUUUAUUGGAUUUUUCUGCUUGUCUUAAUUCCUUGGAUUAUAGUUGUAACAUGUAAUAUAAUUCUUUUGGGAUUGAUCUUGUUUGGUUAUUCUGUUUAUUGAUGAGCUUCUUCUAUUUUCACCAUGAAAAUAUUAUAGAUAAACAAUUUCACUAGUUGAGUUUUUAGGCCUGUGUAGAUCCAACGAGGUUUAAAUGGAGACUAGGAUGUUGUUUGUGCAUUAUAAUUGUGAGAGAACCUAAGGUUAAGUGAGCUUUCAAUUUUGUCAAUUAUGAACUCAAUUAAUGUUUCCAUUUGUUCAACUAUGUUUUUCUUUUGGGUUAAGCAUAAAAAUGACAUGAAAUGGUUAGAUAAUUUUCUUGUUGAUUUUCCUAGCUGAGAGUGCUGAUUACAAUGUUAUAAGGUAUGAUUUAUUAUUUUUGUAUAUUUCAACAAUACUGGAAUGAUAGGCUUUCUCAUUUUAGCUUGAAAUUGUAUUUGUGGAUUUGUAAAAUUGAUUAAACGACAGAUGGAUUUGUUCAAUAUUCAUUUGGAUCGUACUCUUGUGCACGUGUGUUGGUUUAUAUGCAUUGAGAUAUGGUGUUGUUUAUUUGCAUUAGUUGUGUGAUGACUUUGUUUUUUGGUUUCUUAAUAUUUUUGAUUUGUUAAGCGCAAACAUUUUGUUUGGUUCCACAAAUGAUAUGAAUGUUUAGAGUUGAUCAAGGCAUCUGUUUAGUCGCUUUGCUCUUGGCUCUCCAAUUUUUCAUUCUUUUUCCUUCUAUUUCUUGAGUUUCUAUCUUUAGUUUUUCAUUUGGAGGAUUUUGAUUUGUUUGCUACCUUGUUUGUUGCAGGAGUAAAUGAAAAUAUGACAUGAAGCAAUAAUUUGUAGCAAGAAUGUAAAUACUGAAAAAUAGAGAUUGAACUCUUGUUACUUGUAAUUUCAAUUUUUUUUUUGGUACUCUAAUCUUAGGGAUUGUGGAUUAUUUUACUCCUAUUAUUUUUAUUAUUUUCCUUUGUCCAAAUUUUCAAUUAUACUCCGGUGAUUCUAUUAGUAGUCAGGCAUUUGUUAAUGAAGAUUCAGUUUAAUUGAGUACUUUUACCAAUGUGAUUCAUUUUUCUUUAGUUACAGCUGAUAUUUUUCUUGGUC
rnacentral:lncRNA from 1 species